CUAGCAGGCACAAUAGCACAUUAUUCCUGAAGGAGCUAUGGUUUGAAAUUUCUGAAUGGGCUUACCAUCAGUCUCAGCUGGCAGCCUACUCAGCAUGCACAGGCAGGUAAACUCUUCAAAUACACUUCUUUUUCAGUAUGGAGACUGUUCCUGGUAUUUCUAUAUUCAUCAAAAAACAAGCAAGCUGUUAUAGAGGCAGUGCACCCCAUGCAGUGAGAGUGGUCUCGCCAAGCUUCUUCCCCAGGACCCACCUCAGCAGCAUCUCAACAUCAAGGUGCCCUAAGCUUUGAACUGUGUUGGUAUCUUCUGAAGGCAACCUAUAACCCAAGAGUCUCUAUCUUUCAGCUGUGUGUAGGAGUGAAGAGGUUAAUCUAUUUACAUGUAUUUAUACUGAUAUAUUUAACCCUUAUUUCUUUUGUUUUCUUGCUUUUUAGUGGCAUUUUUAAUUAAUUGUAUAUAUAUAUAUUACAUACACUACUAAUUUGAAUAUUAUAUACUCUACUUUUAUUGCGAAUUCGUAUUCUAAAAAAAUAACAUGCACGUUUAAUUUAUAAAAUAAAAAACAAUCAAUGCCUACUUUUUUCUUCA
rnacentral:lncRNA from 1 species